UUCUCUCAAGUCUUGCACGG
rnacentral:misc_RNA from 1 species